UCUGGAUUAUUUUUACCGUCGAUUCUUUUCGAUAUCCUAAAUAAUGUGUUCUAAGUGUUUUUUUUCUUCUGGAAACACAUAAAUAUGAAAACCUUAUCCCAAGGUAAUAUUUUGUGUUUGGUUAAAGCAUGUUAAAAUAUAUAUAUGCUUUGCGUUACUUGGCGUUCAUGUAUAGAAUAUACUAAUGAUCAUCUCUUUUAUCUGAAAUGGCCACGUCCCGUAUUUGGUCCCAAGCGAUAAAGCUACGCUAGGCUGGUCAAAGCCAGUCAAAGCUCGCGGCACGGGGAGGGAAAUAAAAUUCGAUUGAUUUAAUGUUUAAACCAAUCUGGAAUUGAGAGCGACACUGGGCAACUUGGUCUGAACCAUAAAUAAAACUGCAAAUUGCAAUUUGACUUGGUCUCAAUAGGGUUAUUGGGUCUGUUGUUUGCGCUUUGGUGUAGAUUGUCUGGAGGUUUUGUUUGGUACCCAAUUGUAUACAGCCCAAGAUAAUUGGACCGAACUAACUUAUCUGGACGCUUGGUCAUUGAUUUAAAACCCGAUCUCGUUCUACUCAUCCUCCUGCUUCAUUCACCUUCGUUCGUUGAUCUUAGCAACAUUGUUCUUGAUUGGCUCAAGUUUGAACUCCCUUAACUUGUAAGUUCUAUCCCAAUCCAGGGUUCCAAUUCUAUGUUUUAAUUGUAAGAUCGCAUGGUAUAUGAUAGGCUCAUGUGUGCUAAAGAUUAAAUGUGAAGGAAAUGGUCAUUUUGGUGAACAAAGUAAAGACUAGUGUGAUAAAAUGUUUAUAUAAGGAUACAUUAGUUAAUUUCUAAUUUGAUGAAGGCCGGGUAAGAAAUUAAUACUCUAUAGAUAUGUAUCAAAUUCUCAGAUGACCCUAGAGUGUUACAAAAAUUUGAAAAUGGAUUCUUCUAAUUUUAUUUAUGUUAAUUAUUUUCUUUUUAAAUAGAAAAAUUGCACAUAGAUAUAUAUUUAGAUAGAUCACAUGAGAGAUAAGUAUAACACAAGAUAUGAACAUAUCUAAAUAUAUUCUCUUAAAGAUCAUUUCAAUAUGUAUCAAUAAUACCCUACCAGAUGUAAAUGCAAAUAUAUUCUUCCUCUUUUUCUGCUAUACCAAACAUAUACACACGAAUUCGACCAGGUUUGAAUAUGGAUGAUAACAUAAUGAUGAAAUUGUAUAGUACUAAUACAAACUAUUAAAUUACAUUUCCCGGUCAAAUGUAAUCAUGUUAAAAGAAAUAACACAAUAAAAAAUUUAUUUACAUAAAUUAUUGUUUGGGAAUGGUUAUAAAUAAAUCAAAGGGGGAUAAUAUAAAUAUAUAAUGUAAGAAAGUCUUUAAAACCAAAAGGCCGGUGUGAGACAUUUUUUUCUGGCGUCUAUACAUAUAGAAGGGAGGAGAGAGAAGGAUAUAUGUAGAGAGAGGAAGUAUGGCUUGUUCAUCAUCUUCAUCAACAGUGUUAUGUUUGUUCCUGAUCAUCUCCACAUGUGCUCUCGUCUCUUCUGCUCGCCUCAGUCUUUCAUUUCCAGGUUAUUGGAUGGGAGAUCUCAGAAUCAAAUGUUUUCCAACCAAAAUUAUUCCCUGAUGAUGAGGGGUAUUGACAUGAUGCAUAUCUAAAACUGUGUAUAAAAAAAACUGUGUAUAUCAGAAAAAAGAACUGUGUAUCAUAAACUAUGUAUAUUAAAAAAAAACUGUGUAUAUCUUAAAAGAUUGUUCAAGAAUAUCAUCAAAAAGAACAACAAUACCUCAAUUAUAUAUAUUUUUAUAGAGAAAAGAAGAAAACUUAAUUAGAUAAAUAAAAGAGAAAAUGUUAUAUU